AACGAACGCUGGCGGUAUGCCUAACACAUGCAAGUCGAACGAGACCUUCGUAUCUAGUGGCGCACGCGUGCGUCACGUGUGGGAACCUGCCCUUAGGCUCGGGAUUAUUCCCCUUCGUGGGGGCUAAUACCGGGUAAUGUACGCUGAUAACACAUUCAACUCCCUUGGGUGGGCCCGCGUUGGUUUAGCCAGUCGGUAGGGAAAAAGCCUACCACGGCUUAGCUCCAUAGCUGGGCUGAGAGGAUGAGCAGCGACACUGGGACUGAGACACGGCCCAGACUCCUACGGGAGGCAGCAGUGGGGAAUAUUGGACUAUGGGCGGAAGCCUGAUCCAGCAAGGCCGCGUGAGUGAUGAAGGCCUGAGGGUUGUACAGCUCUUUUACCCGGGAUGAUAAUGACAGUACCGGGAGAAUAAGCACCGGCUAACUCCGUG
rnacentral:rRNA from 1 species